AUUGAGCGCUGGCGGCAGGCCUAACACAUGCAAGUCGAACGGCAGCACAGUAAUAGCUUGCGCUUUCGGGGGGCGAGGGGCGGGUGAGUGCUGAAUACAUCCGUGUCUGCUGGGUCGAGGGGGCGGACGCAGGCGCACAUACCCCAAAAGUCCAGAGGGCGUACGGGGGAAAUCAUCGGAUCUUACGAUCUUAGGUGAGUCUAUGACGCGAGGUCGGAUUAGCUAGUUGGCGGGGUAAAGGCCCACCAAGGCGACGAUCCGUAGCUGGUCUGAGAGGAUGAUCAGUCACACUGGAACUGAGACACGGUCCAGACUCCUACGGGAGGCAGCAGUGGGGAAUAUUGGACAAUGGGCGCAAGCCUGAUCCAGCCAUGCCGCGUGGGUGAAGAAGGCCUUCGGGUUGUAAAGCACUUUUGUUGGGAAAGAAAAGCAGCAGGUUAAUACCCCGCUGUUCUGACGGUACCAAAAGAAUAAGCACCGGCUAACUUCGUG
rnacentral:rRNA from 1 species